rnacentral:tRNA from 1 species
GGAAAGGUGCUCGAGUGGUUGAAGAGGCACGCCUGGAAAGCGUGUAUGCGCCUAAAGCGCAUCACGGGUUCGAAUCCCGUCCUUUCCG